rnacentral:lncRNA from 1 species
GUGAGCAGGCGUUCUUGGAGAGUCAAGUUGAUCCCUUUUCUUAUGCUAAAGACAUUUCUACUGGGUGCAAGACUACAAAGAUACUUUUAUCUUUCACUUUGGACAAAGAACAUAUAGAAAAGGACCCACAAUUUUUCUUUUUUAAUUUGCAUUCUCAUUUCAGUAAUUAAAAUGCCAACAAAAUGUUUAUGAUUGCUCAUAAUCCUAAAGUGAUCCGCGCACCUUAGAUCAGUAAAGUUGAUACCUAGCACUUACAUGUUUCUUGUAAACAACAACAACAACAACAAACCCAGUGUAUUCCCACCUAGUGGGGUCUGGGGGGGUAAGAUGUACGCAGUCCAUACCUCUACCUCUGAUGAAGUAGAAAGGCUGUUUCCGAUAGACCCCCGGCUCAAGGCACGAGAUACCACACCAACACAUAGUGCAGCACAGAAGCAGAUUACAUAACAUAAAUACGGCACCAUGUUUCUUGUAAACAAGAAUUUGAUAAUUCAAUCUGUGGCAUUCAAAGUCUGGAAAUAGUCCUAGCUCGGUCAAGGAUCUGAUAUAAAUACUAACGCAAUUAUAUGCCACAGACGGUUGAAGGUUACAGAUAUACCCAGUACUGUAUCAAAGGGAGCACCAGAUUUCUGCACUGUUUACGUCAUCUCAAAGUCAAAGAUCUCUUCUGUGAAAAAUGCUUCUCGCCCAGCACCUAUGGCAUCACCACUUUAUAAACAAAUACAGCAAUUGGAAGACCAUGUUAAUAGUAGUGGUUUUACCCCUACUGCACGUAGCAGGGGCAUCCAUAGUAUGAGAUGUUCUUUUUUGCCAUACAAUGACUCUCUUAAUGCCAAGACAUAUUUCUUUAACUUACCUGGUCAACUCCAUGUGCAGGUGGAUCAGUCGUGGACAGGUCGCAACGGCGGUCAUUCAUGACUGAUGAGAGUAAAAAAGUGGGGUAAGUUCCAAGAAAGAUCUGCUAUCCUUUCAGAUUGUGUUUGUAUUCCAAGUCGAAACUUAUCUUUAAUCAUCGAGUUAAUGAAUUAUCUGACUCCGCAAUUUGUGGAAAACAAAGGAUCUUUAUUAUUUCACCUGGCUGAACAUGUUUUUGGUUAAUGAAGCCCCGUUUGCUACAAAAGAAAAAGAUGUCCUGCUCAAUAAAUAAAAAAAAUGUGAUGAGAUUAUAUAUAAGUUUUGAUGAUAUGUAUACAUGCUAAACCCAGCAAGUUUUGGAAGCAGGUCACCAUUUGAUAGACGAAGAGUCAUACCUUCAAGGAUUUUUUCUGAUCUUUCUGAAGCGGAUACUGAUUUAUCAUUCGUCAGCUCUGGUAGACCAAGCACAGAUCGUACAUCGUCCAUGAUGUAUGAUGGCAUGGACUCUGGUCGUAUUUCACAAAUAUCAACAAGUUCAGAUAGUAGCUUUGGCUCAGAGCGCUUGGGAGCUAGGGGUAGUGAGCUCAGUUCCUUCAACGACUUCUCAUCGUCCUCAUUUGAGACUGUAAGUUUACUCUCUUUGUCUGGAAACGUGAUUGACAAGUAAUUUCUUCAUGAAACACUUAAUAUCGACAACAAAUGUAUACUUAAAGCUGGUUUUGAUUAGUCUUGGUUCACGUCAUGAAUCUAUAUGUGGAGAACACGAGGAGAAUAGUAAGUUGAACCUAGGAAGCAUGUGCAUAGCCAUCUAAUGAUGUUCAAUUAUGUCAGGAGCUCAUACAAAAGCAUAAUGCGUUUCAAUACUACUUUUUACCUAGACAAUCUAAGCAGUAAAACAGUUACUCAUGGCACAGGUAGAAGUAGGACUUCUACAAUUUCAGUAGAGAAGACCAUAUACUCUAACAUCUAAUGCUGAAUAAAAGAAAUACAACAACAACAACAACAACAACAAACCCAGUGUAUUCCCACCUAGUGGGAUCUGGGGGGGUAAGAUGUACGCAGUCCAUACCUCUACCUCUGAUGAAGUAGAAAGGCUGUUUCCGAUAGACCUCCGGCUCAAGGCACGAGAUACCACACAAACACAUAGUAAAGCACAGAAGCAGAUUACAUAACAUAAAUACGGCACCCAUAAGUAAUAUAAAACAGAGGAAAGCACACAGAUUCGUAAUAAAACAUGGAACACGGAACACGGAAUCAUAACAAGAAUAAAACCCCCACC